UACGUAGGUGACAAGCGUUGUCCGGAUUUACUGGGCGUAAAGAGCGCGCAGGCGGUCGUUCAAGUCGAGUGUGAAAGCCCCCGGCUCAACUGGGGAGGGUCACUCGAUACUGAUCGACUCGAAGGCAGGAGAGGGUAGUGGAAUUCCCGGUGUAGAGGUGAAAUUCGUAGAUAUUGGGAAGAACACCGGUGGCGAAGGCGGCGCUCUGGACCGAGACUGACGCUGAGGCGCGAAAGCGUGGGGAGCAAACAGG
rnacentral:rRNA from 1 species